rnacentral:tRNA from 1 species
GGAGGAGCAAGCCGAUCGGUGACGGCGCUCGUCUCGAAAACGAGUGAGCGGUGAAGGCCGCCUUAUGGGUUCGACUCCCCUCUCCUCCGC